rnacentral:rRNA from 1 species
UAGGGAAUCUUCCACAAUGGACGAAAGUCUGAUGGAGCAACGCCGCGUGAGUGAAGAAGGGUUUCGGCUCGUAAAACUCUGUUGUUAAAGAAGAACAUAUCUGAGAGUAACUGUUCAGGUAUUGACGGUAUUAACCAGAAAGCCACGGCUAACUACGUGCCUG